rnacentral:rRNA from 1 species
GACGGAGGGUGCUAGCGUUGUUCGGAAUGACUGGGCGUAAAGGGCGCGUAGGCGGCCGGUUGCGUCGGAUGUGAAAGCCCGGGGCUCAACCCCGGAACGGCAUCCGAUACGGGGCGGCUCGAGACCGAGAGAGGUGAGUGGAAUACCCAGUGUAGAGGUGAAAUGCGUAGAUAUCGGGAGGAACACCAGUGGCGAAGGCGACUACCUGGCCUGUUCUUGACGCUGAGGCGCGAAAGCUAGGGGAGCAAACGGG